rnacentral:rRNA from 1 species
AUUAAACGCUGGCGGCAUGCCUUACACAUGCAAGUCGAACGGCAGCACGGGGUGGUAACACUCUGGUGGCGAGUGGCGGACGGGUGAGUAAAGCAUCGGAACGUGCCCUGGAAUGGGGGAUAACGUAGCGAAAGUUACGCUAAUACCGCAUAUUCUGUGAGCAGGAAAGCAGGGGAUCGCAAGACCUUGCGUUCGAGGAGCGGCCGAUGUCGGAUUAGCUAGUUGGUGGGGUAAAGGCCUACCAAGGCGACGAUCCGUAGCGGGUCUGAGAGGAUGAUCCGCCACACUGGGACUGAGACACGGCCCAGACUCCUACGGGAGGCAGCAGUGGGGAAUUUUGGGACAAUGGGCGCAAGCCUGAUCCAGCCAUGCCGCGUGAGUGAAGAAGGCCUCGGUUGU